UGUGUACAGCACACAUGUGGAGGUCAGAGAAUAACUUGGCUCUCUCCGUCUUCCCUGUGGGUCCCGGGGAUUAAACGCAGGUCACCAGUCUUGUUGGCAAACACCUUCACCAGCUGUACCAUCUCUCUGGCUCCUAAAGAUUUGCUUUUUGAGGACUCAUGAAAAUGAUUACAGCCUUUGAGCCGGGGCCUCCGGAACUCUGUAACUGCGGGUACCACUGGUAGAGGGCACGAGGGUGUAACUCACUG
rnacentral:lncRNA from 1 species